UCCUCCCUCUUUCUUCGUGCUUAACACAUGCAAGUCGAACGGAAAGGCCCUGCUUGCCGGGUACUCGAGUGGCGAACGGGUGAGUAACACGUGGGUGAUCUGCCCUGCACUUCGGGAUAAGCCUGGGAAACUGGGUCUAAUACCGGAUAGGAGCCAUUUUUAGUGUGAUGGUUGGAAAGUUUUUUCGGUGUAGGAUGAGCUCGCGGCCUAUCAGCUUGUUGGUGGGGUAAUGGCCUACCAAGGCGGCGACGGGUAGCCGGCCUGAGAGGGUGGACGGCCACAUUGGGACUGAGAUACGGCCCAGACUCCUACGGGAGGCAGCAGUGGGGAAUAUUGCACAAUUGGCGCAAGCCGGAUGCAGCGACGCCGCGUGGGGGAUGACGGCCUUCGGGUUGUAAACUCCUUUCGCUAGGGACGAAGCUUUUUGUGACGGUACCUAGAUAAGAAGCACCGGCUAACUACGUG
rnacentral:rRNA from 1 species